rnacentral:rRNA from 1 species
GAUGAACGCUGGCGGCGUGCCUAAUACAUGCAAGUCGAGCGAACAGACGAGGAGUUUGCUCCUUUGACGUUAGCGGCGGACGGGUGAGUAACACGUGGGUAACCUACCUAUAAGACUGGGAUAACUUCGGGAAACCGGAGCUAAUACCGGAUAAUAUUUCGAACCGCAUGGUUCGAUAGUGAAAGAUGGCUUUGCUAUCACUUAUAGAUGGACCUGCGCCGUAUUAGCUAGUUGGUAAGGUAACGGCUUACCAAGGCAACGAUACGUAGCCGACCUGAGAGGGUGAUCGGCCACACUGGAACUGAGACACGGUCCAGACUCCUACGGGAGGCAGCAGUAGGGAAUCUUCCGCAAUGGGCGAAAGCCUGACGGAGCAACGCCGCGUGAGUGAUGAAGGUCUUCGGAUCGUAAAACUCUGUUAUUAGGGAAGAACAAACGUGUAAGUAACUGUGCACGUCUUGACGGUACCUAAUCAGAAAGCCACGGCUAACUACGUGCCAGCAGCCGCGGUAAUACGUAGGUGGCAAGCGUUAUCCGGAAUUAUUGGGCGUAAAGCGCGCGUAGGCGGUUUUUUAAGUCUGAUGUGAAAGCCCACGGCUCAACCGUGGAGGGUCAUUGGAAACUGGAAAACUUGAGUGCAGAAGAGGAAAGUGGAAUUCCAUGUGUAGCGGUGAAAUGCGCAGAGAUAUGGAGGAACACCAGUGGCGAAGGCGACUUUCUGGUCUGUAACUGACGCUGAUGUGCGAAAGCGUGGGAAUCAAACAGGAUUAGAUACCCUGGUAGUCCACGCCGUAAACGAUGAGUGCUAAGUGUUAGGGGGUUUCCGCCCCUUAGUGCUGCAGCUAACGCAUUAAGCACUCCGCCUGGGGAGUACGACCGCAAGGUUGAAACUCAAAGGAAUUGACGGGGACCCGUACAAGCGGUGGAGCAUGUGGUUUAAUUCGAAGCAACGCGAAGAACCUUACCAAAUCUUGACAUCCUUUGACCCUUCUAGAGAUAGAAGUUUCCCCUUCGGGGGACAAAGUGACAGGUGGUGCAUGGUUGUCGUCAGCUCGUGUCGUGAGAUGUUGGGUUAAGUCCCGCAACGAGCGCAACCCUUAAGCUUAGUUGCCAUCAUUAAGUUGGGCACUCUAAGUUGACUGCCGGUGACAAACCGGAGGAAGGUGGGGAUGACGUCAAAUCAUCAUGCCCCUUAUGAUUUGGGCUACACACGUGCUACAAUGGACAAUACAAAGGGCAGCGAAACCGCGAGGUCAAGCAAAUCCCAUAAAGUUGUUCUCAGUUCGGAUUGUAGUCUGCAACUCGACUACAUGAAGCUGGAAUCGCUAGUAAUCGUAGAUCACCAUGCUACGGUGAAUACGUUCCCGGGUCUUGUACACACCGCCCGUCACACCACGAGAGUUUGUAACACCCGAAGCCGGUGGAGUAACCAUUUGGAGCUAGCCGUCGAAGGUGGGACAAAUGAUUGGGGUGAAGUCGUGACAAGGUAGCCGUAUCG